GAGGAAUAUUGGUCAAUGGGCGAGAGCCUGAACCAGCCAAGUAGCGUGCAGGAAGACGGCCCUAUGGGUUGUAAACUGCUUUUAUGUGGGGAUAAAGUGAGCUACGUGUAGUUUAUUGCAGGUACCACAUGAAUAAGGACCGGCUAAUUCCGUGCCAGCAGCCGCGGUAAUACGGAAGGUCCAGGCGUUAUCCGGAUUUAUUGGGUUUAAAGGGAGCGUAGGCCGUGGAUUAAGCGUGUUGUGAAAUGUAGACGCUCAACGUCUGAAUUGCAGCGCGAACUGGUUCACUUGAGUAUGCACAACGUAGGCGGAAUUCGUCGUGUAGCGGUGAAAUGCUUAGAUAUGACGAAGAACUCCGAUUGCGAAGGCAGCUUACGGGAGCACAACUGACGCUGAAGCUCGAAGGUGCGGGUAUCAAACAGGAUUAGAUACCCUGGUAGUCCGCACAGUAAACGAUGGAUGCCCGUUGUUAGCUCACUUAAGAAUUAGCGACCAAGCGAAAGCAUUAAGCAUCCCACCUGGGGAGUACGCCGGCAACGGUG
rnacentral:rRNA from 1 species